rnacentral:rRNA from 1 species
AACGAACGCUGGCGGCAGGCUUAACACAUGCAAGUCGAGCGCCCCGCAAGGGGAGCGGCAGACGGGUGAGUAACGCGUGGGAAUCUACCCAUCUCUACGGAAUAACGCAUGGAAACGUGUGCUAAUACCGUAUACGUCCUUCGGGAGAAAGAUUUAUCGGAGAUGGAUGAGCCCGCGUUGGAUUAGCUAGUUGGUGGGGUAAAGGCCUACCAAGGCGACGAACCAUAGCUGGUCUGAGAGGAUGAUCAGCCACACUGGGACUGGGACACGGCCCAGACUCCUACGGGGGGGAGCAGUGGGGAAUAUUGGACAAUGGGCGCAAGCCUGAUCCAGCCAUGCCGCGUGAGUGAUGAAGGCCCUAGGGUUGUAAAGCUCUUUCACCGGUGAAGAUAAUGACGGUAACCGGAGAAGAAGCCCCGGCUAACUUCGUGCCAGCCGCCGCCGUAAGAC